rnacentral:rRNA from 1 species
AUUGAACGCUGGCGGCAUGCCUUACACAUGCAAGUCGAACGGUAACGGGCCUUCGGGUGCCGACGAGUGGCGAACGGGUGAGUAAUACAUCGGAACGUGCCCGAUCGUGGGGGAUAACGAGGCGAAAGCUUUGCUAAUACCGCAUACGAUCUACGGAUGAAAGCAGGGGACCGCAAGGCCUUGCGCGGACGGAGCGGCCGAUGGCAGAUUAGGUAGUUGGUGGGAUAAAAGCUUACCAAGCCGACGAUCUGUAGCUGGUCUGAGAGGAUGAUCAGCCACACUGAGAGUGAGCCACACCGGCGACUCCUACGGGGGGGACAAGUAGAGAAUUUUCGGCAAUGAGCGAAAGCCUGAUACAACCGUGCCGGGUAGAUGAUGACAGCCUACGGCUUGGAAGAUACUUUUCUUCGGCAGGAAAAGCCUUCUUUUAAUCCAGGAAGGUCGUGACGGUACCGGAAGAAUAAGCCCCGGCUACAUACGUG